ACUGCUCUACAGCUACAAAGUUUAACGCACUGAACUACACAACAAGCCAGGGCCAAAGGCCCGGUUAUGGAACUAGGUGUUGCAGUUUACUAUAACGCAGUUAGCAAAAUACAACAAACAUAUUUGUAGCUAGGUUCAAGCACAAACUAGUUUAAGUAGGCCUCUGGCCAGUAGCACAAACACAAGCACACACCUAAAAGUGACUCGUUGGACCAGUUAGUCACUGUAUAAAAAUAGAGGAGGACGGUUGUCCCCCCUCAGUUUUGCUGCUAAAUAGUAUUAAGGUUAUAGCCCUGUAAUAGAAAGUAGGAGAAGUAAGCCUAACCACGACUGUAAGCAUUAUUCAGCUGUAUUGCGCUUUAGGCCUAUGGCCGUGUGGACAACGUUCUGCAAGAUAAAAGUACCUAAAACCAAAUAAAUUUUUUGGUACUUGAUAACUAACUGCUUGAUUGUGCUUUUUAUCUGGUUUUACGUGCAGUUAGUUUGUAAUUUUUAGUAUAUAUAUAUAUACUAUACAUUUUUGUUACAAUGAAAUUGAUUUUAAAAUCAAAAUAUAUUUUUAAUUUUUUUAUUUGUGUUUGUUUAGAAUCUAAUUACCAAAGUUAGCCAAAAACAAAAUUCUUUUACAAAUCAAGAAUUAAUAUUGAUUUGCUAUUUUUCACAUAUAAAAAAAUUUUUUGUUUUUAAACAAAGUAAGCACUUUGGCAAGCCAAAUAGCUGACGAAGUCAGCUUGUGGAUUAAGUUUAACUGUAUUANACUACCUUAGUUCUCUUAGGCAACUCAAGUUGUGAGACAAACGAACUUCACAGCGCAAGGACUGUGAGUUUCUCAGCAGGUAAGUUCAUUGUAGUUUAACUCUAACGUAAUUAAACUACAAAUCCGACUUAUGGCCUUUUGUGGAGGAAUUGUAACUCAAGGUAGCUUACAGGGCUAGCACUGAUGUUUAAAAACGAUAAAGUUGUUUUUAAUCAACUUUUAUUUAUAAAUAUUAUUUAAUUAAGACCUUUACGUAGUUUUUGGUGCAUAGGACCUGACGCGUAAAAACUAGACUCUGCUAUGCUUACUCUGGUGCAAAAUACCAGAGUUUACACGGUCAUAGGGCUACUUUUUACUUUGUCAAAUUCUAUUGUCAAAAAUUAGACAACUGGUGCAUAGCAUGUGCUUACUACCUUGGCGACGCUUACGUNUGAGCUAAAGCAGUUUACUCCUCAGAAACACUGGUAUGCUUUAGCUACAAGCGGCUAAACAAGGUGUGUGUUGUAGCGUGUCAUUAAGCUCGGUGCUUACCUCUUCAUCCCCUAAAGGGGAACCGAAGGGGGACCAGCGUUUCCCCUUCGUUUUCUUCCCCUUUGGGGAACCAAAGUCUCCGUCCCCUUUAGUUCCCCGUAGGGGAUGAAGAAGUUCCCCUUCGGGGAGUAACACCCCUUCGUUUUCUUCCCCUUUGGGGAACCAAAGUCUCCGUCCCCUUUAGUUCCCCGUAGGGGAUGAAGAAGUUCCCCUUCGGGGAGUAACACCCCUUCGUUUUCUUCCCCUUUGGGGAACCAAAGUCUCCGUCCCCUUUAGGGGAAGAAGGGUAACACCCCUUCGUUUUCGUCCCCUAAAGGGGGAACCCCUUCGGUUCCCCUUUAGGGGAUGAAUGCGCUGUAAGGUAGCCCUUCAAGCUACGCUAGAACGUAGUAACGUCGAACGGUCCCGUGUUGUUUAAACUACAUAGUCACUUACUUUGCUACGCCCACGUCAUUAAGGUCCGUUAGAGAUCUGGCCCAAAAGGCCGGAUAAUUUUAGUUUAUUGUUAUUUAAGACCAUUAAACUACAUUUCUACAACGUAUCUACUACUAUGUUAGGGAGGGGGCCAUGCUACUAGCAGAAGAUCUUAACAGGUACACGCUUACAAAGCAACUUCUUAUGUAUUUUAUAAAAUCAGUAAUAUAAACUUAAACAACUUUAAAGACUANN
rnacentral:lncRNA from 1 species